GGGGCGGAAGCCGAAGUAGGUCGAGGCACUACCCUGUCAAGGUAGAGUAAGCCGGUUCGAGUCCGGUUCGUCCCGCCA
rnacentral:tRNA from 1 species